CUUAAGCAUAUCAAUAAGCGGAGGAAAAGAAACCAACAGGGAUGGCUCUAGUAACGGCGAGUGAAGCAGCCAAAGCUCAAAUUUGAAAGCUCCUAACAAGGCGCAUUGUAAUUUGAAGAUGGUAUUCUGAAUUAGUCCUUUACCUCAGUUCCUUGGAACAGGACGCCAUAGAGGGUGAGAGCCCCGUGUGGAAUUGGUCACUAAUUCGUGUAGUUUACCUUCAAAGAGUCGAGUUGUUUGGGAAUGCAGCUCUAAGUGGGUGGUAAAUUCCAUCUAAAGCUAAAUAUUGGCGAGAGACCGAUAGCGAACAAGUACUGUGAAGGAAAGAUGAAAAGAACUUUGAAAAGAGAGUGAAAAAGUACGUGAAAUUGUUGAAAGGGAAGGGAAUUAGACUAGACUUGGAUUUCUGUUAUCAGCAGUCUCUCGGGACUGUGCACUAGCAGUUUUCUAGGCCAGGAUCUGUUUGGAGGCCAGGAUAAAACCCAAAGAAUGUGGCUCCUCGGAGUGUUAUAGCUUUGGUUGAAUACUGGCAUUCUGGACAGAGGACCGCGCUUCGUGCUAGGAUCCUCGCG
rnacentral:rRNA from 1 species